rnacentral:lncRNA from 1 species
UGAUCUGAUUUGGACACUUGGGGUUGCCAAGAUUAGAAACCUUGGAGUUUGGUCAGAUUUGGGAGUCCCAAGUGGUCCAAAUUCGAAAUUUUGGGGCUGGUCAGAUUUGGAAGUCAGAUUUUGCACCAAAUUUGGUAAACUUGUAGGCUGUCAAGAAUUGGAUGUUGUUCAGAUUUGGAAGUCCAAGUUUGAAUCAGAUUUGGUGGCUUGAAUGCUGACCAAGACUAGGGCUGUUCAGAUUUGAAAGUCCAAGUUUGAAUCAGAUUUGGUGGCUUGAAUGCUGACCAAGACUAGGGCUGUUCAGAUUUGAAAGUCCAAGUUUGAAUCAGAUUUGGUAAAACUUGAAGGCUGGUCAAGAAUUGGAAACUAGAGCCGUCUUUCUUGAAAAUUUUUUUUUUGACCUUUGAAUCAGAUUUGGUAAAACUUGAAGGCUGGUCAAGAAUUGGAAACUAGAGCCGUCUUUCUUGAAAUUUUUUUUUGACUUCUGUUGGGGUGUUUUCACACAAUAGCCAGCUAGCUUAGACCACAAU